rnacentral:rRNA from 1 species
AAAGGAAUUGACGGGGACCCGCACAAGCAGCGGAGCAUGUCGUUUAAUUCGAAGAUACACGAAAAACCUUACCAAGGCUUGACAUCCCCUGAAAAGCAUAGAAAUAUGUAAUAGGUAGCAAUAUCACAGGGAGACAGAUGGUGCAUGGUUGUCGUCAGCUCGUGUCGUGAGAUGUUGGGUUAAGUCCCUAAACGAGCGCAACCCCUACAGUAAGUUGCCAAUAUUUAGUUAGGAACUCUUACUGGACUGCCGUAGAUAAUACGGAGGAAGGAGGGGACGAUGUCAAAUCAUCAUGCCUCUUACGCCUUGGGCUACAAACGUGCUACAAUGGCAUCUACAAUGUGUCGCAAUAUAGUAAUAUGGAGCCAAUCACAAAAAAGAUGUCUCAGUUCGGAUUGUGGGCUGAAACUCGCCCACAUGAAGUUGGAGUUGCUAGUAAUCACGAAUCAGCAUGUCGUGGUGAAUGCGUUCCCGGGUCUUGUACACACCGCCCGU